UGGGGAAUUUUGGACAAUGGGCGAAAGCCUGAUCCAGCAAUGCCGCGUGUGUGAAGAAGGCCUUCGGGUUGUAAAGCACUUUUUGUCCGGAAAGAAAUCCUUGGCUCUAAUACAGUCGGGGGAUGACGGUACCGGAAGAAUAAGCACCGGCUAACUACGUGCCAGCAGCCGCGGUAAUACGUAGGGUGCAAGCGUUAAUCGGAAUUAUUGGGCGUAAGCGUGCGCAGGCGGUUUGCUAAGACCGAUGUGAAAUCCCCGGGCUCAACCUGGGAACUGCAUUGGUGACUGGCAGGCUAGAGUAUGGCAGAGGGGGGUAGAAUUCCACGUGUAGCAGUGAAAUGCGUAGAGAUGUGGAGGAAUACCGAUGGCGAAGGCAGCCCCCUGGGCCAAUACUGACGCUCAUGCACGAAAGCGUGGGGAGCAAAACAGGAUUAGAUACCCUGGUAGUCCACGCCCUAAACGAUGUCAACU
rnacentral:rRNA from 1 species